rnacentral:rRNA from 1 species
AACGAACGCUGGCGGCAUGCCUAACGCAUGCAAGUCGAACGAGAACUUCGGGUCUAGUGGCGCACGGGUGCGUAACGCGUGGGAACCUGCCCUUAGGUUCGGAAUAACUCCCCGAAAGGGGUGCUAAUACCGGAUAAUGUCUUCGGACCAAAGAUUUAUCGCCCUUGGAUGGGCCCGCGUUGGAUUAGCUAGUUGGUAGGGUAAAAGCCUACCAAGGCGACGAGCCAUAGCUGGUCUGAGAGGAAGCUCCGCCACACGGGGACUGAGACACGGCCCAGACUCCUACGGGAGGCAGCAGUGGGGAAUAUUGGACUAUGGGCGAAAGCCUGAUCCAGCAACGCCGCGUGAGUGAUGAAGGCCUUAGGGUUGUAAAGCUCUUUUACCCGGGAUGAUAAUGACAGUACCGGGAGAAUAAGCUCCGGCUAACUCCGUG